rnacentral:rRNA from 1 species
UACGAGGGGGGCAAAUGUUGUUCGGAAUUAUUGGGCGUAAAGGGCACGCAGGCGGUUUUGCAAGUCUGAUGUUAAAGACCCGGGCUUAACUCGGGGGAUGCGUUGGAGACUGCAAGACUAGAAUCUUGGAGGGGGAGUCGGAAUUCCUAGUGUAGGGGUGAAAUCUGUUGAUAUUAGGAAGAACACCGGUGGCGAAGGCGGACUCCUGGCCGAAGAUUGACGCUGAGGUGCGAAAGCAUAGGGAGCAAACAGG